GAUGAACGCUGGCGGCGUGCCUAAUACAUGCAAGUCGAGCGAACGGACGAGAAGCUUGCUUCUCUGAUGUUAGCGGCGGACGGGUGAGUAACACGUGGAUAACCUACCUAUAAGACUGGGAUAACUUCGGGAAACCGGAGCUAAUACCGGAUGAUAUUUUGAACCGCAUGGUUCAAAAGUGAAAGACGGUCUUGCUGUCACUUAUAGAUGGAUCCGCGCUGCAUUAGCUAGUUGGUAAGGUAACGGCUUACCAAGGCAACGAUGCAUAGCCGACCUGAGAAGGUGAUCGGCCACACUGGAACUGAGACACGGUCCAGACUCCUACGGGAGGCAGCAGUAGGGAAUCUUCCGCAAUGGGCGAAAGCCUGACGGAGCAACGCCGCGUGAGUGAUGAAGGUCUUCGGAUCGUAAAACUCUGUUAUUAGGGAAGAACAUAUGUGUAAGUAACUGUGCACAUCUUGACGGUACCUAAUCAGAAAGCCACGGCUAACUACGUG
rnacentral:rRNA from 1 species